rnacentral:tRNA from 1 species
GGAGAGGUGCAAGAGUGGCUUAAUUGGCUCGCCUGGAAAGCGGGUAUACCCCAAAAGGGUAUCGAGGGUUCGAAUCCCUCCCUCUCCG